rnacentral:rRNA from 1 species
UCUUUAUGGGGUGACUGCGUACCUUUUGUAUAAUGGGUCAGCGACUUAUAUUCUGUAGCAAGGUUAACCGAAUAGGGGAGCCGAAGGGAAACCGAGUCUUAACUGGGCGUUAAGUUGCAGGGUAUAGACCCGAAACCCGGUGAUCUAGCCAUGGGCAGGUUGAAGGUUGGGUAACACUAACUGGAGGACCGAACCGACUAAUGUUGAAAAAUUAGCGGAUGACUUGUGGCUGGGGGUGAAAGGCCAAUCAAACCGGGAGAUAGCUGGUUCUCCCCGAAAGCUAUUUAGGUAGCGCCUCGUGAAUUCAUCUCCGGGGGUAGAGCACUGUUUCGGCAAGGGGGUCAUCCCGACUUACCAACCCGAUGCAAACUGCGAAUACCGGAGAAUGUUAUCACGGGAGACACACGGCGGGUGCUAACGUCCGUCGUGAAGAGGGAAACAACCCAGACCGCCAGCUAAGGUCCCAAAGUCAUGGUUAAGUGGGAAACGAUGUGGGAAGGCCCAGACAGCCAGGAUGUUGGCUUAGAAGCAGCCAUCAUUUAAAGAAAGCGUAAUAGCUCACUGGUCGAGUCGGCCUGCGCGGAAGAUGUAACGGGGCUAAACCAUGCACCGAAGCUGCGGCAGCGACACUAUGUGUUGUUGGGUA